AAAAACACAGCAGGAAGCAGUUUGCUGACUUAUGAAAAAGAUGUUUGUUCCUCUUUUAUGGCCCAGCUCUGACAUUCACAAAGCAGAGAAUUACAUCAGCAAACUUGGGUUAAGAAGUUACUAAAUGAGAAAGAAUUCAUACUGGAGUUUUCUUACUUUUCUUUGGUAGAAAUUCUUUCUGUCCUUAUUUGGUAGUUUUUGCAUUUUGAGGACCUUGGAAAAGGGAUCGCAGCAUACGAUAAACAUUUGCUCUUCCACUAACAGCCAGCCCCCGCCCUCCGCCCCACAGCCAACUACAUACAUUCCCUUUUCAAGUCACAGAGUGGACAAGCUGUUCAGGCAGCUUAGGGAGCCUUUAUCUUCCAUAGUCCUUCUCCAUCUGCAAUGGGCUAAAUAAGGUCAUAUUAAGAAGAAAGACGUUCAAUGGUCAAACCCCACGGAUCUGUCUGGGAAGUAAGAAAACCCACAAUCCUAUGUCUGUGUCAAUGUAUGUUCCAAGUUGCUUUUGUUUCACCAAACAUUUAGUUAAUUAAAGCAGGAUCCACUGCUUUAAUUAACUGCUUGUUUAUUUCAUUCCAGUCUGGCUUUUCGUAUGAAAAAGAUCUUUGUUCUGCUAAAUGGCUUUUAUGGCUAUUUAGAAAACAUUAUUACAAUAGAAAACAGUAACUGAGGAAAGAAGGGAGGAUAAGAUCAGAUUGAUUUCAGUCUCUCCUUUUUUGGCCACAGUUGGGAAUGGUGUGUGUUUAUGCAGACUGUGAUAAGAGUCAGAGCCAUCUCUCCUGCAAAUCCAAACAUUGCCUAAUAUGGUCAGGCUUCUCAUUCCUUCUUGUUCUUUAAAUCACAUGCAGGAAGCACACUGUUCUAUGUUUUGUCAGUCUCCUUGCUUCAGCUCAUUUCUCUCUUCUCCCUUUGAUUCACACAGAUCAAGAAUGGUUUGGCAUUUGAGUAGAAAUCAGAUUUAGUUGUUGUUAAUCUGUUUGAAACCAUAAAUAGAGAUGAGACCUGUGCUGAUUUCAGUCACAAUGUAUCAAU